rnacentral:tmRNA from 1 species
GGGUCUGUAAGGGCUUCGACGGGGAUUUUGAGAUAAGAUAAGCGUGACGGGCUGGCUAAUCCCGUAUAAUGGCUAAAUUAAAAAUUAAACGACAACAGAACUGUUGCUAUGGCUGCCUAACUAAUUGCCCCUUGGGCGAUUAGUGGCAGUGCUGUGGCCAAUGUGCCACCCGUCUCCCCAAGGACGACCACGACCUUGGCUGAGGCGUCAACUAGUGGUGAACCUGAAUUGGCGUUUCGCACUUGAACCAAUCAGGCAUAAAAGUGCUACCAAGGACUAAAGCCUGUUAAUCGGCGUUAGUCUAAGGGAAUUUCAAAAGAUUAACUGCUCACGGAGAAGGUUUUAUCAACGGAUUUUCGGACGCGGGUUCAACUCCCGCCAGAUCCACCA